AUCCGCAUGGAAUGUGCAAUUUGUCCUAAUUUUAAACUCUGUGUAGAGUGCUUCAUUGUUGGAGCUGAAGUGACACCUCAUAAGAGCAAUCACCCCUACAAAGUUCAUGGACAAUCUCUCAUUCCCACUUAUAUGCCCUGACUUCAAUGCAGAUGAUGAAAUGCUGCUUCUAGAGAUGAGAUUGUCAAGUUAUUUCUCAAUCUGUUUGCAUGUCGGCAAAAUUGGUGGUAAAUGACUUUCAAUACACUGGGAGCCAAUCAAAAGUUGAAAUUGAUAUCAUUUUUAUCAGAUUCUAGUUGCAAGGUGGACUCAAUGUGAUUUCAGGAAUUUUCGUUGAGGAUCUAUAUAAUGAUGUUGUAUUUUUGAAACUUGAUUUACUUGAAAUAUUAUUUGAAAAUGUGAUUUUCGUGUUUUGUUGCUAGAUGAUUGCAGGAUCAUAAAGUGCAAACACAUUGAAUUGGAUGACUCUUGAAUAUAUUUAUCUCGUUAGCAUUAUAUUGUACUUCAACUUGAGCAAGUAUAAUUUGAUACGGAAUAAGCUGUUUAUAUUUUUAGUAAUUUGCUUUCGAAAUUGAUGAUCAUACCCAUAAUCAGAAAAUGUAGCUGGUGGUUUUAUUGAAAUUGAUAAUGGUAGAAUUUUAAGCAUGUGUACACUAGGUUUGGCUAAGUAGAAGUAAUGCUAAACUUGCAUGUUAAGGUUACAUGACUGAAACUCCAGAGCUGGUGAGAGUAUUCAUUUGAUGAUUGGAUCAUUUGGACCUGUCUUUCUCUUGUUGUCUGGUUCCUUUUUGAAGCCUUUUGUUUUCGGUUAUUCUUCAUUUUUUUUCACCACUGCUUAGUUGUGCAGAAAGCUAGGAAUAUUUCUUUUAUAUUCAUGUGUAAUGAACAAAUAUUUCUUUUAUAGAGUUGAAAAGCAGAUCACCAUGUUUCAAAUCCAAGCAUGUAAAAAUCUAAUAUAGAGCUACUUAAAUGACAAUUCUCCUUCCUCAAGUGUCAAGAUUGCAUCAAUUUCAGCAUUCUGGCCAUUCUCUGAACAAAUUUUUUGGGCUGAAAUUUUAGUUUGAAAGAAAUGCAUUGUUCUUUAUGAUUACAGAUAGUUUUGAGUCCUCCAGUGGAACUUUCAGAAUGAAGCCUCUGCGUAGAUUGUGUGGCGUUGCAGCUCAUGUUUCUUCUGUUUAAAUUAGAUGUGCAUGAAUGCUUCAAGACGAAGACUUUCUGUCGACAAGGCUUAAGCAUGCUAAGGUUAAAAGAGGUGAACUGGAAAUAUUGCUUGAAGAAUGAGCUUAAUACAGUCAUACAAUCAUUACAAAAUGAAUUUUCAGUGCUGUGUGAAAGAUUUGCAGAAUAAAAAGAGUGAGUGAGAUAGUAAAAUGAAAUGUCCAUCAACAUGCAGCAAAAUCAUCUGAUCUUGAUUGGGGCUAUCAGGAGAUGCAGAUGAAGCGAGGCUUUAUUUUAGACGAUCAAAGGAAGAGGCAGCUAAUUAAGGAUGUGGUCUCCUGGUAAUUUGCCAGAAAUCGGCUGGAAAUGGAAGAAAAGGCUGGAAAUGGACUCUAAUGUCUUUGUAAAUUAAAUAUCUAGUUCUUCAUGUCUAUGAUAAUCUUUUGGCUUAAAUAUCUACUUCCUUAUUAUUUUUA